rnacentral:rRNA from 1 species
GGUUGAUCCUGCCAGUAAUCAUAUGCUUGUCUUAAAGAUUAAGCCAUGCAUGUCUAAGUAUAAACAUUUAUACUGUGAAACUGCGAAUGGCUCAUUAAAUCAGAAAUAGUUUAUUUGAUAAUACAUGCUACUCGGAUAACUGUAGUAAUUCUAGAGCUAAUACGUGCUAAAAGUCUUUAUUCCGCAAGGGGUAAGAUGUAUUUAUUAGAUAAAAAACUAAAGCGUGGGGCAACUCACGAUAAACGUUGAAUCAAGAUAACUUUGCGAAUCGCAUUACUUUAAUGUUGGCGAU